ensembl:misc_RNA Metazoa_SRP Metazoan signal recognition particle RNA
GCUGGGUAUGGUACUGUACACCUGUAGUCCCAGCUACUCGGGAGGCUGAGGUGGGAGGAUCACUUGAGCCCAGGAGGUUGAGGCUGCAGUGAGCUACGAUCAUACCUGUGAAUGGCCAAUGCACUCUCUCCUGGGCAAUGUAGUGAGAUCUCAUCUCAU